UCCCGGAAAAGUUCGUUGGCGAAGACUGCCGAGGAUGACAUCAUCACUCGGGCGGCGCGAGGAAAAAGUGAGUAGCGGUUGAGAACACACCCGGUCGUCCACGCGAGCUACACCAAGUCAGGCAAGCAGACACCCAAGCCCUCCACCUCUCUCACGGCCUAUUUUCAAGCAAUACGGUAACAACAGUAGG